rnacentral:sRNA from 1 species
AGGCCCGGCCGGUGCUCGGAAUCGGCACCUCCGCGCCACACACGCCCACCUGGCGACUGCUCGCUAUGUUCUGCUAGCU